CGGGGACCUGGAGGAUCCGGAGGCUCGUGGACGGGGUCUAUGCCUCGGAGCUCUCCCUGGCUUCCUUGUCCUGCGACCCACAGGGCCCCUUCACCUGCGCCCUGGGGCACCCUGCUGCUGACAUGGCCUCUUCUUAUCCUGCCAACUCGGACUUGGUCAGCAUUUUUUGUUUGACAGUAUCUGUCAAGGUUUGAUUUUGCUUGAGAAAUAAAUGAAUCCUUAGAACAAAUUAAGAUUAUUCAAUAAAGGAAGACAAGUCACCGUUUAACCUCUGGAGUGAACUUCAGUGAGUGUUUACUAGAGAAACAAAUAUAAGACAAAAUGUACAAGUAUAUAAGAAUCGACAAGACUGGCGUGCAGUGGCCUCCCACAGAAUCGGAUGAGGCAGAGUGCAGAGGGUCUGUCUGCACACUGGAGACCGAAGGAUCCGGCUGAAGGUCCGGAGCUCACUGCAGUGUCCCGUGCGAAUCUGUGUUAGGAGGCUGAUGGGUCUGAGAUGCCGGAAGGCUGAAGGAUCAGUGUGAGAGGCUGAGGAGUCUGCACUGGAAGCCAAGAGAUGAUGUCCAAGGUGAAGGCAAAGACUGGAGCUCUUCCAAAGAAGCAGAAGCAGACCCAUCCUUCUUCAUCUCCCCUUUCUACCAUCCAGGGACAAGCUGCCCUAGGGUGGAUCUUCCACACCCUAGGGUAUGGAUUUGCUGAGCCAAUUAAGUUGAGCUUCUCUUACUCAAGUUGACACAAUCAAACAACCAUCACAUUUCCUACUUGGGAGAAACUAUAAAUAUGCAUUCUUUUUUUAUCUUGUUUUCUUUUUGUAUCUUGUCUUUUUGGCACCCAACUCUCUCCAUAUUACUGAGAAGAUAAUUUGGGUCCUUGUGUGGUGCUUCUUCUGAUGGAGAUAAUACAAGCCCAAAACCGGUAAAAGCAGCGUUUUGGAAAAGGAAGGCCCAGAAGGCUGAGCGUGAAUCCUUGAGACAUCAACUUAGGUAUGUGUGGGGGCUGUGGGAAGUAUUAUUACCUGGAACAGUCUUCAAUCUGUAGACCCAAACCUGUCUCUAGCAGGGCGUUUCUCUUAGGAACUUACCAGAUCACGCGUAGAUUGUUUUCAGGCAGAAGCUGUUUUGUAUUUCUAGUUCCAGCUGGAAACGCGAGUGAUGUAGUUGGCAGAAGCAAUAGCACCAUCUGGUGGAGACAGAUGCUUCCGUGCACAAGCUUUACCGUUCUGAAAAUAUCAGCAAUCCCAAAGAAUAACUAGUUUUAAAACACAUUCUUAACUCUAAAGCACUCCUGGGAUGCAUAAUAUAUCAGUAACAAAAAAUUUCUCAUAUAUUCUAAUUCUUUAUUGACUGAGCUAGCACUCUUGACCAGUGACAGACUUUUUAUUUUCACAAUACUUAAUUAGGAUUUAAUAUUCUCCCUGUGUCAGACUCAUUUAUUUAGGAUGUGGAUCCUUACGUUUGAGAUUUAACCAUGUUCCAAGGGAUCCAGGCUUCUUUACAUUUAGCAGAGUAACUGAAUCCUCAGUAAGAAUGAAGGAAUAAACAGUAGAUUUCAUUGUUCUUUUCUGUCUCCUACCAUGUAUCAGAAACACACCUCCAUCUUUGAAUGACAGAGUUCCUUAGCACUGGGCUGGGGGAAGGGAGGUCUUUUUUAUCAUUGAGAAACUAGAACAACUGUAUCCGGAGCUUAGCCAAGAAUUCAUAUCUGUGAUAACUAAACAGUCAUCUAGAAAUUUUAUCUGGUCCACUAAAAAAAAAAUCUCUAGCAGAAUGUUUCAUUUGCAAUCAUAAACUCAUUGAACAAUUAAAGAAUGAAUGAGACUUUUAAAUGUGAGUGGUUCACCUUCCAAAUGCCCAGUCUUCUCAAGUUUAUUAUCCCUGUUUUAUCUGCAUCAAGUAUGGAGUUCAUCUUCCUGGGAAAGUUUGAACUUCUGAACAAUCUCACAUUUCUUCAGAGUUUACAGUCGGUGUGAAUUAUGCAGAAAUUUACAAAAUCUUUUUUUUUUUACGCUUCAAAACUUAAAAGUACAAAGUAAGUCUCCCUUCCUCCCCCAAAAAUAUUCCCCAGGUAUCAGUUCACUUCUCUGGGAUAGUAAUAUUGCAAGUUGUCUGUGAAAUGUUACCAAAAAUAUUCUGUGCUUAUAGGAAAUUUAUUGCAUCAAGGAUACGCCACAGAAUAUUUUGAAUUUGCAUUUAUCACUUGAAAGUAUAGAUUUUUUUAUUUUUUAUUUUUGGUACCGGGGAUCGAACUCAGGGUCCUUGCGCUUUCACGGCAGGUGGCGGAACCACUGAGCUAAAUCCCCGACCCGAUCACUUGAAAAUAUAGAUUGGAGAUUGUUCUGUAUCAUUACAUUAGUGCUACCUUGCUUAUUUUUCAGCUGUGCAAUAUUCUAUUGAGUGAAUAUUGCAUGGUUUACAUAGCCAGUCUCCUCUUGAAUUUGUUUCCAGUAGUUUGAUGUACAAACAGUGCCUCACUGGAUAACAUUUACAUCCGCUGCUUUGCAUGCAUUGCAGUCUACCUGCUGGAUGUAUUUGGAGAAGUGGAAUUGCUAGGUCAAAUGGUUUUCACAUUUGUAAUUGUGAGAAAUGCUCUCCUCCUUGGAAGUCAUUUGUACUGACUUACAAGAACGUAGGAUGCCCCAUGCCCUCAUUAACUGUUUUUAAAAAACAACUUUUGGGGCCAGGGAUUUAGCUCAGUGGUUCCACUGCCUGCCUCGCAAGUGCAAGGACCCGAGUUCGAUCCCUACUACCAAAAAACCCACAACUUUUGGACUUUGACGAUCUUAUAGGUAUUAUAUUUGAAUUUAAUGAGUAGCAGGUUUCACAGUUUUCUUAUUAUGAAUUUGGUUUAACGAGCAUGAAGUUUUUCAUGAGACCUGAUCACCGAGUCAAUUCUUUCUCCAAAGUUACUUUAGCAAAUAUACUGAUUGUUUAAAAUUUUAGUUUUUAGAAUAGGUAAAAAGUGGCUUCAAUUUUAAACACCUUCCAAAAUUACUCAUUUAUGUUCUCCUCCUUCUUUUCAUUUCCAGUAGUGGAUUUACCAUAAAGCUAGAGAAGCUUAAGCUUUAGACCCCUUUCUAAAUCCCCAAACUAGUUUUGUACUCAUAAUUUGACAUUCCUUUUCUUAAAAAUGUUGUCCAAAGUUAUAGAAGCUUCAGGCUGGAUACGCCCCUGUCUUCCCAGUUUCCAACCUCUCAAUUUCUUAUGUGUCCCUCUGGAUUACUUUAUGCACAUAGAAAUAUAUCCAGAAACGGAUUAUUCAUACUUUUGCUUUGUACGCUUGCUUUCCUCAAUGUGUCUUGGAUAUAUUCUGUGUAAAUUAUAGAGAAGGUUCAUGCCCUUUCUUUGUUUUUCAUUUUUUUUUGACAGUUGCAUGGUCUUCCAUUGUAUGAAGUUAAGCUCUUUAUUUCAUCAGCUCUUCACUGGUACGCCUUAGUGUAUAUUUGUUUUGUUUCAUUUCUGCCAUUUUCUUAAGUGUCCGGGCAGGUUUUGGAGCCCUGAAUGACAGUCAAGAAUCUGGUAGAGCCACAGGCUUCAGAAGAGGUGGGAAUUAAAUGGAUGAAAUUGGCAGGAGGAAUCCCAGCCUUGCUUACCCUCCACCCUCUUCAGGUAUCUACAACUCUAACUCUUUUCAAAACAGGUCCCUGGAAGCCUGCUAUUCAUAGCCUAGUGUGAAUCUGUGCAUCUGCAUGCUAAGUUUAUCUAUGAUUAUGAAACACAAGAUUGUCUUGCUAAAGCAUUUCUAACAAUCUGAAGACAGGAGGGAAACACAAUUAUCAGUCUUCAGAUGGUAUAAAAUCAUACUGGGCAGGUAACAGGUGGGAUAGAUAGCCCAUGAGGACACAUUAGUCUACCAGAGGCCUUGCUACAACCCACUAAAUAACUGCCACUACUCACACAGUAAUGUUUUAGUGUCCUGUGUCUGAUGGGAAGGGUUGAACAGCUGAUAUCUUCUAUGCCAGGAGAUUCAAUCGUUUUGAGACUAGACUCUUUAUACCCUCUUCAGUCAUUACUUCCCUUCUCAUUCAAGACAGUACACACCAUGAAAAUUACAUUUCGAAUAGCUGGAGAUGCAGCCUUUCCAUUCUCCUUAUCCUCUUAAAGUGUCAGCUGCCCCUUCUUCCAUCAGAACCUGUUUUCUGGAAAGGAUCAUGCACCUGUCUAAUUUGGUUACUGCAAAUCUAACCGAAUCCUCAGUGUCACUUUUAGUUCAUAUAUCAGUGUUAUAUAAAACUUCUUUAUGUGAAUAGUUGCAUAGUAUUCCAUAGUAUAGAUAUAGAAUAUUUUAUUUAACAACCCCAUUUUUCACUAAUGUUAGGUUAUUUGUGACAUUUUGCUCAAAUAUGACUCAAAUUUAAAAUUUAAUAUUUUAAUAUGGAUAUGUAUAUAUUUGGAGACAUGUAUGUGAAACUAUUUCUGUAGGAUAUGUUCCUAGAAUUAGAGUUCCUCAAGAGGUGUAAACAUUUUAAUUCUUGAAGAGAUAUUUCUAAAUUUCCCCCAAAUCAAUUUAGAUUCCUGUCAAGAUUAUGAAUUGGGAUCCACAUGCCCACAUGCUCAGCAACAGUAUAAAGUAUCAGUCUUUCUAGUUUUGUUUAUCUGAUGGGAAAAAUGUUCUUUCAUGUUUUAAAAGCCAUUUCUCUAAUUUCCAGAGGGCCGGUGCAUCUUUCAUCAUGUUCUGAGAAUAGUAAAUGUUUCUAUUUGAGUUUGUAUAUUUAAUUUCCCAAUUGGAAAAAUGGCUUGAAUAUUACUAUUAUGUUCAUGGUAUAUAUAAAGACUAUGUUAGCUAUAUUCUUACUUUCUCUUAAAGUGGUUUUUCAAGACAUUAAAGCUGUUUGUGUAUGUGUGUAUAUGUGUGUGUGUAUGUGUGUGUGAAGGUGUAUCUUUUUAAAAAUGUUUUUUAAUUGGUGAAAUUGUAUAUAUUUAUUGUGAAAAACAUGAUGUUUUGAAAUAUAUGUUCAUUAUGGAAUGACUUAAAUUAGCAUAUGAAUUGCCUAAGGUAGUUAUCAUUUUUGUGGUGAGAACAUUUUAAACUUAUAUCCUAGCAUUUUUCAAAAAUACAAUAUAUAGUUCUUAACUGUAGUUGUCAUGUUAUACAGUAGAUCAUAAGUCUGAUUUUCUUAACCCUUACAUUAACCUCGCCAGAGAAAGGUUCCAUAAGGCUGUGUCACAGGGAGGCCAGGCCCUAUGCUCAGUGGUUAUGGGUGUGGUCUUCGGAAUCAGGCUGACCUGGUUUAGACUCCGGGUUGAGUCAUAUUUCUUACAUUUUCUGUGCCUCUGUCACCUCUUUUGUAAAGUGAGUGCCAUAAAAGUUGUAAACUCACAGAAUUUUCCUGAGGCUUAUUUGUAUUUUUUAUGUUUUGGAAGUGCUGGAGAUGAGACCGGGAGCCUCGCACAUGUGGGACAAGCGCUCUGCCACUGAGCUGUCCCCCAGCACUGUCGUAAACUCCAGACAGGAUAAUAACACGAUGCAUGUAAUUCAGCACAGUUCCAGACACUUCCAAGUGCUCAGUAUUUGCUAUCCAUUAAAAUUAUUAUUUAUAACGUGGACAACACAUGCAGAGAAUUAGAUAUUUCAGUUUUAUUCUAGGUCCUAGAAACUUUCCCAGUAAAACUUAUUCUUAGUAAUAUCCUAAAAGACUAAUACAGUCCUCUUUUAUUAGAGUGGGGAUUUCUCAUUAUGUUUUAGCCAGUCAUAUGAAUUUUCUGUUUCUUAGAGCAUGAAAAUAAUUAACUCACCCAUUAAUUCAGUGUUUACUCUUAAGUUCUUACUGUGUUUAAAGCCUGAGAGAUUCAGUUCUCUUCAAAAGUCUAUUUCACUUUCUCUGUAUGAAACUUAUUCCACAUUCCUUUAAACUGUGAAAAUCCUAAUUUAUACAAAAUGCAAGGAAACAGGAAAGAAGCUUAAAGGCAGUUUAGUUCAACUUUUUAUUUUAUAGAUGUAAAAACUGAAGCCCAGAGGCAGGAAGCAACUUUUCUAAGGUCACACCGUGCGUAAGUAUGGGAACUGGGAUGAGAAGCCAGACAUCCCAGCUCUACAGCAGCACUCUGUGAAACCAUACCAUGUUCAAGGAUCCACUUCUGUUAACCCAACAUGACUUCAAAAAUCCUGACCUUGGUAUAAUUCCAAAGGAAAUGAAAUCACCAACUUGUUAAAAUGUUAUCAUUCCCAUGCUCUUCUCAGCACUAUUCAAAAUAGGAAAGAUACGGAAACUACCUAGGUGUCUAUUGACAAAUAAAUGGAUAAAAAAUUUUGGCAUAUAUUUAUAAUGAAACAUUAUUCAGCCUUUAAAAAUUAGGAGAUCUUACCACUUGCUACAGUUUGGAUGAACCUAGAGGAUAUUAUACUUGGUGCAAUAAACCAGACACAAAAAUACUGCAUGAAAUCUAAAGAAAAUGUAAUAUAUAGAAAGAUGGAGAAUAAAAACAGUGAUUAUGAGGGUCAUAGUGUGGAAGGAGGACUAGGAAUGCAUUGUUUCAAAGGAUACAUGUAGCAAAUAUAGAGGAUGAACAAUCAAAAGAUCUAAUGUACAGCACAAAGAUUACAGCUAAUAAAAUUGUAUUCAGAAUAAAGAUUUGAGGGAAUGUGAAGAUUACAGCAUCUUUUGUUUCUAUGUGUGGUGAAGGAUAUCUUGAUUUGUUCCACUAUCGUAACUAUUUUCUUAUAUAUUUAUAUGUAUCUUUAAAGAUCAUGCAGUAUAACUUAAGUAUACACAAUAAAAUUCAUUUAAAAACAUUAAAAACAAAUAUACAAAAACACAGGUUUUAAAAUGAUAAAAAUGAAACACGGCUGUCUGAAGUUUGUCAAGAAAGAUAGAACCUAACACACUUCCCUACCUAUUUGAAGACAAUAGUACUGUGAAGUCCAGUAGCAUAGCUUUCUAGGUCUUUUUCAUUUUUGUCUACUCUCAACUACCCACAUAUAACAAGAAUGCACUGCACUCAAGGUAGACAGUACCAGUGAUCCUACAGAUCAGCUUCUGGCAGCCCCUGGCCCACAUGCCAGAGAUGGUACAGGUGCCAAUUUCUGGUGGGAAGUGAGCCAACUGCCACACACAAUUCCCACCCUCAUCGUUUUCAGCAGAUAUCAUGUCCACCCUCUUGCCCAUGUCAUCCGAGGCAACACCCUGACAAGGCUUUCCAUAUGGCCCCAUCUUGGCCUUCCAAAACCACAGGCUCAGUAAUUCAACACACACAUUAGAGAAACCAAUGACCGCUGAUUCCUAUAAUAAAAAUGAAACAUUCUCAGCAUGUUUAAACAGAAUGUUCAUUUAUUUUCUUCUUUAUGAUUAUAGAGUAAUAGAAUGUUCUUGAUUAUUAAUAUAUAUCAUAGAAUAUGCCAAAGCAAGAAUUAGGCAAAUCUAAUGAACUUGCCUAACCUUAAAAGAAUAAAAGGCAACACAUCCCCAGCCCCCAGCCUAUAUAUUAUGGGUAGAAAUCUGGACCCACUGACCAUUUAGUUGUUCAUUUAAACUUUAGUUCCGGUUUAUUGAGCAUCUACUAGGAAUGGUCCUGUUGCUGGCUGUUCAGAGCACGAAUAUCCAUAAGUCCUCUACAAAAGGCUGCCUCAGAGUUCAUGUACACCUGGCUGCUUAGUCUUGAGUUACUUUCUACCACUGAAUAAUUCUGUGAUGUUAAGCAAAUAAAUUUGCUUCUUUAAACUUUAUUUUCCCAAUCCUUAUGUAAGGGUAGUAUUAGUCCCUACUUUGCAUAUUUGAUUAUAAGGAUAAUAUUAAGGCAUUUUAGAUGGUGCCUAAAACAGUCAAUUCUCAAAAAUUAUCAGCUACAAUUAAGUUUCUCCUGUACUAUAACCCGAAAUUAGAAAGCCUGUAAGAGGGUUAGAAAUCAGAAGGUCAAUUGACACUGAAAAUUUGGAAAUUAGGGCAACCAACAGUUAAAAGGUCCUUAAUAUGACAAGAUUUUGGUGAUUACUUGCUGUGUGACAGGGACAUGUAUGUGUUGGGGAUGAAGAAAUGAACCAAUUCUUGAACUUCUACUUGUGGAGAGAUGGCAUAAAAUUGAGAACUGUAAAUCCCGGGUUAAGGAUUAUUAAAAAGCUGGAAUUCUGAAAUCACUUGUCUUGGGCGAAGUCCCCUGUUUUCUUGGUGGAUGGGCUGGGACUAGGAUUAAAGGUAGGGGGGUUUCCCUGGGACCUUUGCCCAUGACCCACAGAGAGCACUGAGCUUGGAGUCAGCUUGGGCUCCUGGUCAGGAUGGUCCCUGCAAGGCUUCCAUGCCUCUAGAGGGACAGAAAAGCCAUGUGUGCAACAGUUUGGGGACCUGUCAGCACCAAUACUUCUGUCUAAAAGAGCUGCAGUCCCAACUCAGAAAGUCUACACACCCUGCCAGGGUUAAAAUGAUUUCUGACAUAAUGACAAUACUAACAAUAUAUCUUAUGUUUGUGUGACCCUUCAUGUCUUCAAAUGAUGUCCACCUGCAUCUCUGUCACUAGCAGUGUUCAGUAGCCCCCUGAAACAGCCCAAAGAACUCUCUUUAUGCAUAACACAGGUUGUAAUGGAGCACACAACAUUGCCGUGGAGCUAAGUCACCAUUUAAAGCCUUUCUUAGGAGCUACUGGGAUUAUAAAUUGUAUAUCUUGUUUGGAUAAACUAUAAGAAGACUUUUUAAUGCCCUUCAAUUGGUGAACCAUGAAUUUAAAACUGUGAUGUCAACAUCUGUGUUAUCCUACCAGUUCAAAGAAUGUGGCCUUGUAAAGACAGUCUUUCCUUGCUACGUCAUCCUUAUGUUUGCACACUAGUGGAAAGUCAAUCUGGAUUCUUCAGCAAAUGUUAGUACUUUUUUGUGUGGGAGCCAGUGCUUGUCUUUGGCUGGAGGUAAAAAAUGUUCUUUCUAUUCUCUUCCUACUUCUUCUGAAACUUCAUAAUCUUUCUUUUUAAUAUCAACUAUGGUUAUUGGUUUGGGAAUAAAAUUGCCUAAAUUUGAUCUUAGGCCAGAUAUUUAUUGGCUGGGUUCAUUUAUUAUAUUGUUUAGUCUCUCCGUAUCUCUGUUUUCCCACAUAAAAGUUCUUAAUGAUAGCUCCUACUUCAUAAGGUUGUUAUGAUGAUUAAAGAGCUAAUACUUAUACAGGUGCCCUCAGUAGGGGUGUGUGUGUGUGUGUGUGUGUGUGUGUGUGCAUAUGCACAGAUAUGUAAGUGGCGUAUGUGAAACUAGAGAUGUCUUCAUUCUGAGUCUUAUCACCAUUUUCAAUUCUAAACUGAACCUGUAAUAUGAGUGAGAACAGUCUCCAAUGCUACACUCUGUGUUCUUCUAAGACCCUGGAUCUGCUUUGCAAAUAUGCCCAUAGGACUCAUAGACCAGGACAGGAAGAUUUCCACACACAAUCUCAGACUCGCCUGGCCUCAUCAUGCCAUGUAUUCAUGGAGAAAAAAACCCCUGCAUUCACCAGACAUAGCCUACAUUGGGAUAAAAUGAUUGAACUCUUAAUGUAGAUAAAAAUGUACUACAUUACCCUGGUUAAUUUUGGUUUGAGAGUCAGAUUGGGUAUGAGUCUAACAUUUACUAUUUGCUUAAUGCUUGCAUUCAUAAACUGAGAUGAUAACAAGACAUGGAUUUGCUAAAAUGAUAAAUGAGGUUCUUUGUAUAAAGUACCUGUAAACAUGCAGUGGAUGCCAGAGAAUAAGCGCUAAGUGGUUAUAUUAUUAUUGAAACACCCUUUUCCAUUCAGGUGCCUCUGCUUGUGUCUUUCCAUGUACACUUAAUGUAUCAUGUUUCUGGAAAAAUGAAACCAAUAAAAUACAUAUAAUUAUAGGAAAGGAUUUCUUCAAUGGGCUCACAAAAUCAGAGGCUGGAUAGGCCACCUGCAAGCUGGAGGGGCAGAGGAACUGGUAGCUACACUGAGCAUAAUGCUGAAAGGCUCAGAACAAGAGAGGAUGAAGAUGCAUCCUUAGUCUGAAGCCAGAGGCUGAAAACUCCCAUGGAGAGCCACUGGUGCAAGGGCUACUUUCAAAGGCUGAAGAACUUGGAGCUGAUUCUACAGAUGAAAGAGCAGAACAAUGCAUUUUCCCAAGAGGAGUAAAGUGUGGGCAAGAGCAAACACUUUCAGCUUUUGUUGUUCUUGCAUCUGGGCCCUCAGCCUAUGGGAUAGGCAGGUUGCCCUUAUUCACUUCACUGACCUACACACCAGACUUCUCUGGAAACGCCCUCAAAGACAGACCUUGAAGCGUGCUUUACCAAUUUUCUAGGCAUCCUUCAAUGCAGUCAAGUUGUCAGCCAUGGUUAAGCAUCACACAUGGCCCUUAGAAGGUGAGUUUUGGUGCUAACUGCUCCCAUGGAGGGGAGCAUGUGUUUAGUCAGACAAUCAUGGAGAAGGUAAGAAGAGUUUAGAAAGAAGUGGCCAUUUACACUCUAGAGGAGAGAAAACUGUGGGUGUUUGGUUGAGGAAUUCCCCACAACUGACUGCUGAAUGUGGGUUCACUCUGACCACAGAUAUUGUCCAUAGAUGACAGGGUUUAAUCAAUAAAAGUCCAUUUCCCAUAAGCCUGAGCAGGCAUUGAGUUGCAUUGAUUCUGUGUAAGAGGAAGAACAGUUGAGAGGAAACAAGCAAAAUUGGGGUGAAAAUGGACAGAGGUGUCGGUGGUCUCUGGAGGUCUCUGCCUGUGGCUGCAGUGUUUUUAAACUUAG
rnacentral:lncRNA from 1 species